GGAGUUGUGGCUCAGCGGUAGAGCGCUGUAGAGCUGUCUAGCACAUGCGAGGCCCUGGGUUCGAUCCUCAGCACCACUU
rnacentral:tRNA from 1 species